rnacentral:misc_RNA from 1 species
AAAGCAAGUACACAUACGUUAGUCCGCCAUGACGAAGGGGAAAGGCCGCAACCCAGGCGCCAGCGGGCUCGACAAGCACCUCAAGCGCAAGACCCACCUAGAACGGUCGCAGCCGAAGUCGCGCCAGCAUCUCGGCCAGCUCGAGAAGCACAAGGAUCAUGUUCUCCGUGCAAAGAAGCGCAAGGUCAAGGUGCGCCGCCUGCAGGAAAUCAAGCGCGCCGCAGCGCAGCGCAACCCAGAUGAGUUCAACAUUGGCAUGACGAAGUCGGUGAUGGAUGUGGCGAAUGGCCGCAUGAGGAAGCGCCGGGUUCGACUGGUGGACUCUGACCGGAAGAAGGACAUGCAAAAGACGAUUGAGCACAACCGGCGCAACGUGCAGUAUCUCGAGUUCAAGGCCAAGGCCGACCAGCAGCGGGCGACCGAGCUGCUGAACGAGGAGGCGGCAGCAGCGCUGACUUCGACUGCCCCGCAGAACAAGCACAUCGUCUUUGUAAACUCCGAGGAGGAGUUCCGCAGCUUCAACCCGCUCAAGCACUUCGACGCGACGCCGGAGAUGAUGCGGCAGCACCCGGCGGUGCGCGGUCGCAUCCGCGUCCUGGAGAAGACGGUGAUGCCGGAGGAGAUUCUCAUGAGUGGCGGGCACCAGAUGAAAUCCGCUGCGCAGAAACGCAAGGAGCGGCGCGAGGUGCAGGAGAAGAUGCGCCGCAGCGGUGCCGACGCCACCCCCGAGACACGAGCCGCUUUUGUGGAGCGCCUGCGCGCCAAGAAAGAGCUGAAGCAGUACCAGUUUACCGAUCUACUGGAAGAGGUGAAGCGCGAGAACGAGGCGACCGCCUCCUCAUCCAAGGGCACCCCAGGCGAUGACGACGAGCAUGAGGAGGCGGCAGCGCAGGACGAGGUCACGCGGCUGCUUGAGUGGCGCCGUGAACAGGAGCGUCAGGCGGCGAUAGCGACGGCGCGGCACGUGCGCGAGGUCGGGCAGCGCAUACAGCGAAGCAAGAGUCUCUCUGCCUUGGCAAAGAGGAUCCGCAAGCAGUCGCAAGGCAUCAAGCGGCAAAUGGAGCAGAGGCGGGAGAGCCGCUUCAAGCCCGGCACGACGCGGCGCGCACGGUAAGAAAAAGCCGCGUCUAUGUAUGUGAACAGCGGCAUGCAGGCGAGGAGGGCGGGCUUCUGGGGACGCAUUCGCGACCGCCCGGCAUCUCCUCCCUUACUCGGAAGGCGUACGAGUAACUGGCGGCGGGGUGCUUAUUAUAUGUGUAUCUAUAGGCACUCUCUGGCCCUGCAUGCGCGUAUUCUCGCGCACCAUCGAGUAAUAUAAGCGAUACAUGUGACCGAAUCGGCGCCCUUGAAGGAGAUGCGCCGGAGAAGAGAGAAGGAAAACAUAAUAGAAAAUAAACGAAGCGACUGAAGUUCUGUAGCACGGACGGAAUCCAAAGGAAGCACGACGUGCCGGAGGAAAGGGCAAUCCGCUCUGCCGUGCUGUCCCUCAUGGCUGCACGCCUCUCUUGCCACCCACUUUGCCGUGCACCCUUGAUGAGAGAGAAGCAAG